rnacentral:rRNA from 1 species
AUUGAACGCUGGCGGCAGGCCUAACACAUGCAAGUCGAGCGGAUGAAGGGAGCUUGCUCCUGGAUUCAGCGGCGGACGGGUGAGUAAUGCCUAGGAAUCUGCCCGGUAGUGGGUGAUAACGUCCGGAAACGGGCGCUAAUACCGCAUACGUCCUGAGGGAGAAAGUGGGGGAUCUUCGGACCUCACGCUAUCAUAUGAGCCUAGGUCGGAUUAGCUAGUUGGUGGGGUAAAGGCCUACCAAGGCGACGAUCCGUAACUGGUCUGAGAGGAUGAUCAGUCACACUGGAAGUGAGACACGGACCAGACUACUACGGGAGGCAGCAGUGGGGAAGAUUGGACAAUGGGCGAAAGCAUGAUCCAGCCAUGCCGCGUGUGAGAAGAAGGUCUGCGGAUUGUAAAGCACUUUAAGUUGGGAGGAAGGGCAGUAAGUUAAUACCUUGCUGGUUUGACGUUACCAACAGAAUAAGCACCGGCUAACUUCGUG